UACGAAGGGUGCAAGCGUUACUCGGAAUUACUGGGCGUAAAGCGUGCGUAGGUGGUGAGUUAAGUCUGUCGUGAAAGCCCCGGGCUCAACCUGGGAAUGGCGAUGGAUACUGGCUCGCUAGAGUGCGGUAGAGGAGAGUGGAAUUCCCGGUGUAGCAGUGAAAUGCGUAGAGAUCGGGAGGAACACCAGUUGCGAAGGCGGCUCUCUGGACCAGCACUGACACUGAGGCACGAAAGCGUGGGGAGCAAACAGG
rnacentral:rRNA from 1 species